GAUUCAUGACUGGGGUGAAGUCGUAACAAGGUAACCGUAGGGGAACCUGCGGUUGGAUCACCUCCUUACCUUAAAGAAGCG
rnacentral:rRNA from 1 species